rnacentral:lncRNA from 1 species
CGGUGGUCAAUGGUGAGAGCCAGGCAAUGAUAUCAUUUUCCGAUCUUGACUGAUAUCUUGCCGGCAUUGUUGUUAUAUCUACCAGAUGGAUUGCAUUAAUGUCCAUCCUGGGCAAAAGAGUAGAUAGCGAAAUGGCACCAAAGGGCAUCCAAAGACCCGGAACUACGUAUUUAUGGCCACCAGAUAGGCUUGAAGAAAGUUCGAGGGUUGGUUAUAGGGCUGA